UAACCGAUUCCUAAGGAAUCGCUGAACCAUCAGAAGUCAGCCGAAGCCAUAGUACCUUACCUUCCGGAAGGUAGGGGAAGGGC
rfam:Salimicrobium jeotgali strain MJ3 Contig13, whole genome shotgun sequence.